rnacentral:rRNA from 1 species
GUGGGGAAUCUUCCGCAAUGGACGAAAGUCUGACGGAGCAACGCCGCGUGAGUGAAGAAGGUUUUCGGAUCGUAAAGCUCUUUCGUUAGGGACGAACGUGCUCUUUGUGAAUAAUGAGGAGUAAUGACGGUACCUAAAUAAGAAGCCACGGCUAACUACGUGCCAGCAGCCGCGGUAAUACGUAGGUGGCAAGCGUUGUCCGGAAUUAUUUGGCGUAAAGCGCGCGCAGGCGGGAUAUCAAGUCUGUCUUAAAAGUGCGAGGCUCAACCUCGUGAGGGGACAGAAACUGGUAUUCUUGAGUGUCGGAGAGGAAAGUGGAAUUCCAAGUGUAGCGGUGAAAUGCGUAGAGAUUUGGAAGAACACCAGUGGCGAAGGCGACUUUCUGGACGAUGUCUGACGCUGAGGCGCGAAAGCUAGGGGAGCGAACGGGAUUAGAUACCCCAGUAGUCC